UACGUAGGGUGCGAGCGUUAAUCGGAAUUACUGGGCGUAAAGAGUGCGUAGGCGGAUAUGUAAGUUAGAUGUGAAAUACCUGGGCUUAACCUGGGAGGUGCAUUUAAGACUGUGUAUCUAGAGUAUGUCAGAGGGGGGUAGAAUUCCAAGUGUAGCAGUGAAAUGCGUAGAGAUUUGGAGGAAUACCGAUGGCGAAGGCAGCCCCCUGGGAUGAUACUGACGCUGAGGCACGAAAGCGUGGGUAGCAAACAGG
rnacentral:rRNA from 1 species